rnacentral:rRNA from 1 species
ACCCGCUGAACUUAAGCAUAUCAAUAAGCGGAGGAAAAGAAACCAACAGGGAUUGCCUUAGUGACGGCGAGUGAAGCGGCAAAAGCUCAGAUUUGAAAUCUAGCGUCAUAUUGGCGUUCGAGUUGUAAUCUGUAGAGAAGUUAUCGAGUGUGGAUAUGGCUUAAGUUCUUUGGAACAGGACGUCAUAGAGGGUGAGAACCCCGUAUACGGCCUUUGUCUUAUGCUCAUGUGAGGCUUCUUCGACGAGUCGAGUUGUUUGGGAAUGCAGCUCUAAAUGGGUGGUAAAUUCCAUCUAAAGCUAAAUACUGGCAAGAGACCGAUAGCGCACAAGUAGAGUGAUCGAAAGAUGAAAAGAACUCUGAACAGAGAGUUAAAUAGUACGUGAAAUUGUUGAAAGGGAAGCACUUGCUACCAGACUCGCUUGCAGUUAAUCAACUAUCAUUCUUGGUAGUGCACUUUUCUGUAGGUGGGCCAGCAUCAGUUGUGUCGGUGGGAUAAAGGCAGUUGGAAUGUGGCUCUCCUCGGAGAGUGUUAUAGCCUUCUGUGUAAUACCAUCUAAUGCGACUGAGGUCAGCGCUUUUGCGAGGAUGCUGGCAUAAUGGUCGU